ACUGGUUUGGAAGUACAGGCCUAUUUAUGUUAGUCAGUUUUAAGAUGUUCACCAUUAAGCGUUAUCUCAGAUACCACUUCAUUGCGAAUUCCUUCUAAUUAAUUCCCAUAAGUACCACAAGAACAAACCGCAACAUGCCUUAUGGCAAUUUUAAAAAAUUAAAGGAAAUUCUAUGUCUAAUACAAUGACUGGUACAGUAAAAUGGUUUAACGAUGAUAAAGGUUUUGGUUUUAUCACUCCUGCAGACGGCAGCAAAGAUGUAUUUGUUCACUUUUCUGCAAUUCAAAGUGAUAACUUCAAAUCAUUAGCAGAAGGCCAACAAGUUUCAUUCACCAUUGAAAAUGGUGCUAAAGGCCCAGCAGCAGCUAACGUUAUCGCUAAAUAACGAUAAACGAAUCGCUAAGCAUUCAAAAACCUCGCUAAAUGCGAGGUUUUUUCG
rfam:Providencia rettgeri DSM 1131 genomic scaffold Scfld0, whole genome shotgun sequence.